rnacentral:rRNA from 1 species
GACGAACGCUGGCGGCGUGCUUAACACAUGCAAGUCGAACGGAAAGGCCCUGCUUUUGUGGGGUGCUCGAGUGGCGAACGGGUGAGUAACACGUGAGUAACCUGCCCUUGACUUUGGGAUAACUUCAGGAAACUGGGGCUAAUACCGGAUAGGAGCUCCUGCUGCAUGGUGGGGGUUGGAAAUUUUCGGCGGUUGGGGAUGGACUCGCGGCUUAUCAGCUUGUUGGUGGGGUAGUGGCUUACCAAGGCUUUGACGGGUAGCCGGCCUGAGAGGGUGACCGGCCACAUUGGGACUGAGAUACGGCCCAGACUCCUACGGGAGGCAGCAGUGGGGAAUAUUGCACAAUGGGCGGAAGCCUGAUGCAGCAACGCCGCGUGCGGGAUGACGGCCUUCGGGUUGUAAACCGCUUUCGCCUGUGACGAAGCGUGAGUGACGGUAAUGGGUAAAGAAGCACCGGCUAACUACGUG